AACGAACGCUGGCGGCAGGCUUAACACAUGCAAGUCGAACGCCCCGCAAGGGGAGUGGCAGACGGGUGAGUAACGCGUGGGAAUCUCCCCAGUUCUACGGAACAACAGAGGGAAACUUCUGCUAUUACCGUAUACGCCCUAAGGGGGAAAGAUCUAUCGGAAUUGGAUGAGCCCGCGUAAGAUUAGCUAGUUGGUGAGGUAAUGGCUCACCAAGGCGACGAUCUUUAGCUGGUCUGAGAGGAUGAUCAGCCACACUGGGACUGAGACACGGCCCAGACUCCUACGGGAGGCAGCAGUGGGGAAUAUUGGACAAUGGGCGCAAGCCUGAUCCAGCCAUGCCGCGUGAGUGAUGAAGACCUUAGGGUUGUAAAGCUCUUUCAGUAGGGAAGAUAAUGACGGUACCUACAGAAGAAGCCCCGGCUAACUUCGUGCCAGCCGCCGCGGUAAGAC
rnacentral:rRNA from 1 species